rnacentral:rRNA from 1 species
GAUGAACGCUGGCGGCGUGCCUAAUACAUGCAAGUCGAGCGAACAGAUAAGGAGCUUGCUCCUUUGACGUUAGCGGCGGACAGGUGAGUAACACGUGGAUAACCUACCUAUAAGACUGGGAUAACUUCGGGAAACCGGAGCUAAUACCGGAUAACAUAUUGAACCGCAUGGUUCAAUAGUGAAAGGCGGCUUUGCUGUCACUUAUAGAUGGAUCCGCGCCGUAUUAGCUAGUUGGUAAGGUAACGGCGUACCAAGGCAACGAUACGUAGCCGACCUGAGAGGGGGGUCGACGACAACGGAACGGAGACGCGGUCCAGAAUACUCCGGGAGGCAGCAGUAGGGGAUCUUACGCAAUGGGCGGAAGCAGGACGGAGCAACGCCGCGUGAGUGGUGAAGGUCUUCGGAUCGUAAAAAUCUGUUAUCGGGGAAGAACAAAUGUGGAAGUAUCUGUGCAUAGCUUGACGGUACCUGAUCAGAAAGCGACGGCUAACUACGUG